GAUGAACGCUAGCGGCAGGCUUAAUACAUGCAAGUCGAGGGGUAGCAAGAUUGUAGCAAUACAAUUGUUGACGACCGGCAAACGGGUGCGGAACACGUACACAACCUUCCUACAAGUGGGGAAUAGCCCAGAGAAAUUUGGAUUAAUACCCCGUAACAUAGCGAUGUGGCAUCACAUUGCUAUUAUAGCUUCGGCGCUUGUUGAUGGGUGUGCGGCUGAUUAGAUAGUUGGCGGGGUAACGGCCCACCAAGUCUACGAUCCGUAGCUGGUCUGAGAGGAUGAUCAGCCACACUGGGACUUAGACACGGGCCCGACUCCUACGGGAGGCAGCAGUAAGGAAUAUUGGACAAUGGACGCAAGUUUGAUCCAGCCAUGCCGCGUGAAGGAUUAAGGUCCUCUGGAUUGUAAACUUCUUUUAUAAGGGACGAAAAAAGGUCUUUCUAGAUCGUCUGACGGUACCUUAUGAAUAAGCACCGGCUAACUCCGUGCCAGCCACCGCCGUAAUAC
rnacentral:rRNA from 1 species